rnacentral:rRNA from 1 species
UCAUAAAUAUAUAAGGUAGUAUUAAAAUAAAAACCCAUAUAAAAUGGCGGUCAUAAUAUAUUAGAGGAACUCGCUUUAUAAUCGUAAAUACCCGAUAACUUUCACUUAUAUAUACAGCUUAUAUACCGCCGUUACAGAUUAUGUUUACUCACAUAUAUCACGAAAUAUUAAUAUUAAAAAUCAGGUCAAGGUGUAGUUAAUAAAUAAGNAAAAGUAWGUUACAAUAAACAUCAUUUAAGGAUCUAAUUCAAAAGWGAAAAYGAAAAAGAAUCUAAUYYCAAAUUAAAAUUAAARAUUCAAAUAGAAUAYUAAAUCAAUGACGC